CCUACGGGAGGCUGCAGUCGAGAAUCAUUCACAAUGGGGGAAACCCUGAUGGUGCGACGCCGCGUGGGGGAAUGAAGGUCUUCGGAUUGUAAACCCCUGUCAUGUGGGAGCAAAUUAAAAAGAUAGUACCACAAGAGGAAGAGACGGCUAACUCUGUGCCAGCAGCCGCGGUAAUACAGAGGUCUCAAGCGUUGUUCGGAAUCACUGGGCGUAAAGCGUGCGUAGGCUGUUUCGUAAGUCGUGUGUGAAAGGCGCGGGCUCAACCCGCGGAAGGCACAUGAUACUGCGAGAUGAGAGUAAGGGAGGGGGAACCGGAAUUCUCGGUGUAGCAGUGAAAUGCGUAGAUAUCGAGAGGAACACUCGUGGCGAAGGCGGGUUCCUGGACAUUAACUGACGCUGAGGCACGAAGGCCAGGGGAGCGAAAGGGAUUAGAUACCCUGGUAGUC
rnacentral:rRNA from 1 species